rfam:Oryctes borbonicus contig10030, whole genome shotgun sequence.
GUCGGGUAUGGAGAUAUGGCUCCGAAAACUUAUCUGGGGAUGUUCGUUGGCGCCCUAUGCGCUCUUGCCGGGGUGUUAACGAUUGCUCUUCCGGUUCCGGUGAUUGUAUCCAAC